UGAGAGCGAAGUUUCGGGUUACGGGACUCUUAAGAGCUUUUUUUUUUUUUUUUUUUUUUUUUUUUUUGGUACCUCCUUGGAUUAGUGUGAAAAGGGGAGCAGAGCCGUACAGCUGUCGCCUACUCUCGACUCCCCAGUUCCUGGCCACCCAGCUCCCCGAUCCCGAGAGGAUCCAGACAUCUCCAGAAAAACGGAGGGAACCCGCCAACAAAGCGGCCGUGGGACCGUGGGCGGUGUGGCAGCCAGGACCCCCCCCCCGGCUCUCUUCACGCCCUAGUAUAGAAAGGAACCCUGGUCCCGCCUCCAGGCUCCAAGCCUGGCCGCUCGGUCCCCACUGCUCACCUCCGCACCCCGCGCCUGCAAAGCCAACUCCGAGGGCCACCCGAGUCCACGCGCCUUCCCAGCUCCUGCUGCGGGCGCCGACUCUCCUCUCACCCCAGCCCCUGGCCCAACCUCCACGGCUGGGAAAAACCAAGCCGGGGGGCGGGGGAGGGCCAGGGCUGCAGGAGAGAUCGCCGCCGCGCUGGCCACCUCUGCUGCCCCAGCGCAGGUGGAAGCAGAAGGAGCAGAAGUUCCAGCUCACCUUCGGCUACGAGAUGACUUUGAGAUGACCUGGAGAAAGACCCUGUCUUGAAACAAUCCCAGAAAGAAGAGCAGGCUGAGCCAUUGUCAAGCCAGCUCAUCAGACAGAUCACUGGAAGAAAAAGUAAGAAAGAGCCUGCCUUAGGCUGCAGAGAUGGCUUGCUGGUUGAGAGCACUUCUUGCUCUUCCAGGAGACAAGGGUUCAGUUUCCAGUACCCACAUAAAGCAGCCCAUAAGUGCCCGACACACCAGCUCAAGGGGAUCCACUUGUUCUGCCCCCCUCCACCAGCUGCACUCACAUGUCCAUAUCCCCACACAGGCACAAACGCACAGAGAGAAUUAAAAAUAAACAUGAGAAGAGAAGAGCCAGCCUGAUCUCAGAACAAAUCCCCGAGAGUCCCUUCAAACGCCACCUCUGCACAGAUUCAAUUCCAUCAGAUAAAUACACUAAAUGUGAUUAUGAAAGUAUUAAAGUGCAUUUAACUUGCUUUUGCUUUUUACUUUGCAAAAAUGCAAUUUGACAAAACACAAUGUUACAGUCUAUUCUCAGGCAAGAACCAAUAAGAACGUUAAGAUACUUAACAAAGCAGUGUAAAGAAGCAGGAUGGGAUCAACGAUCUAUUGAGCUUAGAAAAUGAUAGAGAUGCUGACUUAAUUCCAUACCACAUGUGUAGAGUUCCCCAAAUUAAUAGGUAUAACACAACAAACUACAAAUAUGUAGUUGUUCUUUCUUCUCAUUUUGUUUGGUACACCUAAAACUAAAAUGUAAUAGUUGUAAUGGCAUAUUAUUGUCUUAGUAAUAUAUCUAGAUGCCAUAUGUGUAAGUAUACUAUAUAAAAACAAUGUUUCUGUGUCUUAUUAUAAUUAAGUUUGUAUAAAUUUAAAGGAGAUUCUAGGAAGAUAUAUCACUGAGAAACCAUUAAGAAAAUAAACUUUUAAAUGGCAAAAAGGUAGUGUCAUGUCUGCACGUUGGUACAUGCAGGGAAGUGCAGGUCUCAGGCUGGCCAGUGAUUUUUAAUUCCCCUUGAGCUGGAGUCACAAAUGAUUAUGAGCCACACAAGUGUGGGUGCUGAGAACUGAACUCAGGUCCUCUGAAAGAACAGCAAGUGCUCUUAGCCACUGAGCCAUCUCUCCAGACCCUGGUACAUUUUCUGAGAUUGACUAUAUUCUAGCCAUCAAAAAGCAAAUCUCAAUAAAUUUAAAGAGACAAAAUUUGUGGAAAAUAUUUCUCUAAUCAAAAGGAAUAGAAAUUAAUAACAAAAUUAGAAUAUUCACAAAUGUGUGGAUUAAACACAACUGACACAUAAUCGGUGUGUCGGUGGAGAAAUUAAAAUAGCACAAAGUACUUUAGGACAAAGGAAAAAUAAAGGCACACUAUAUACAAAUUUGUUAUUUUAUCUAGCUAAGACAGUAAUUGAUGGGAAAUGUUUAUAUUUUUUAAAAAAGGAAAACCUUCUUCAAUGACGGCAUAACGGUACCUUUAAGACAUUGUAAAAGAAGAACAAAUUAAGCUAAAAGCGAAUAUAAAGAGGAAAUAAAUAUUUGGCACAGAGUAGUAAAAUU
ensembl:processed_transcript 9330154J02Rik RIKEN cDNA 9330154J02 gene